rfam:Gossypium raimondii Chr01_contig_307, whole genome shotgun sequence.
AAUAGAAGAAUGGCAAAUCAGAUUUUUUCUCCUGAUUUUUAACUUUUUCCUAUUGAAAAAAUUCAAAUGGAGAAUUGGAUUUGAAUUUUUUAGUAGGAAAAAGUUGAAAAUCUGGAGGAAAAUUUGAUUUGUCAUUCUCUUAUC